AUAGUACUCCUUCUGUUCGGAAUUACUUGUUGCAAAAAUGGAUGUAUCUAGACAUAUUUUAGUUCUAGAUACAUUCAUUUUCAAGACAAGUAAUUCAGAACGGAGGGAGUACUUA
rnacentral:pre_miRNA from 1 species